GCAGCGUAGCCUAGUGGUUAGAGCGUUGGACUAGUAACCGAAAGGUAACGGAGCUGACAAGGUACAAAAUCUGUCCUUCUGCCCCUGAACAAGGCAGUUAACCCACUGUUCCUAGGCCGUCAUUGACAAUAAGAAUUUGUUCUUAACUGACUUGCCUAGUUAAAUUAAGAUAAAAUAAAACGUCAAUAAAUAAUGUAGACAAAGCAGUGGAAAUAGACUUUGGGCGCACCACCGGAGAACAUUACAUAAAUCCCCCCAUGGGGGUUUAAACUGCAUUAUAAUGUUGACCGCUUAAAGAAAACGGUAUCAAGCGAAGUUCUUUAUGCAUGCUCAUUUCUCGCGUCUAGGGCUUUCGAGUGGAUAUUUUAAAUGGAAAUUAUGGAACUCCCUCGCGUGGUUAUUUUUUUCUUUUUAAGUCCUCAAUGACACUGGCAUUAGGCUAAAUGUGGAGUAUUUUACAUUUGCCUCUGUUGGCGAUCAAGUAGCCAGUUUAUUGUUGUUGUAGCCUACCAUUUGAUAAAUAUGUUGAAAUGAUAUCACUGGAGUCAUAGCAAAUCAAUUUGUGCCACUUGCGUAGCCUACCUGGAGCUGGCAAAGUAAUUUAAUAAAUAGCCUAUAACUUCAGUUUAUUGUUGUUGUAGCCUUAUUGCUUAAACAAGUUAAAUCGACACCAAUUGAAUGCUCUGGCGAGUUUAAUAAGGACGCCAUGUAAUAGCUUUCAAUAAUUAUUAUUUUGAGGAAACUCGAAUUUAGCUUCUAACGUCGUUACUAUGAUAUUCCUUCUUAAUUGGCUCGAUAACGUUAUGGAUACGUUAGGUCUUUAUUGGAAAUAUACGGCAACUCUUCUCUUGCUGUGACAAAAACAAAUUGGGCUAGGUGUCAGGCCUUUUGGGCGGGUUUUGAAUGGUCAUUGGGUACAUUUGUUUUUAGCUUGACCUGGCAACCCUGCUCUGCAUUGUUACAACAUUUGGGAGGCACAUGGCGAUGUGGUACAGAGCUAGACUUGUCCUCUACACGUUUCUGGAGGCUUCACACCCUUCAUAUGGAGCCUCCGACCACAUUCUAGUCUACGCCUCCGCAAUGGAGGCAAUAGUUUACUGAGAUGGGCGCAAAUAUACAGUACCAGUCAAAAGUUUGGACACACCUACUCAUAUUUAAGGUCGAGAGCCAUGCGUCCUCCGAAACACAACCCAACCAAGCCGGACUGCUACUUGACACAAGGGCUACUUAACCCGGAAGCCAGCCGUACCAACGUGUCGGAGGAAACACGCACAGUGGCGACCGUGUCAGCGUGCACUGCGCCCGCCCCGCAACAGGAGUCUCUAGUCCGCGAUGGGACAAGGACAUCCCUGCCUGCCAAACCCUCCCCUAACCCGGACGACGCUGGGCCAAUUGUGUGCCGGCCCAUGGGUCUCCCGGUCGCGGCCAGCUGCGACAGAGCCUGGACUCGAACCCAGAAUCUCUAGUAGCACUGCAAAUAAAACAAUCUCGGUCGACCAACAGCCAACAAAUCGAAUAAUUGGGGUCUGCCCCAGAUUUCGAUCACCCGAAGCAAGCGCACAACCAUGUAAAUACGUGCACAAUUAUUUUUUAAUUUGAACUUUAUUUAACCAGGCAAGUCAGUUAAGAACAAAUUAUUAUUUUCAAUGACGGCCUAGGACGAGUGGGUUAACUGCCUGUUCAGGGGCAGAACGACAGAUUUGUACCGUGUCAGCUCAGGGGUUUGAAUUUGCAACUUUCCGGUUAUUAGUCCAACACUCUAACCACUAGGCUACCCUGCCGCCCCAGGGAAUACUGAUUGGCUGACUGAUAUGACAAAACGUGUAUUUUUAUUGCUCUAAUUACGUUGGUAACCAGUUUAUAAUAGCAAUAAGGCACCUUUGGGGUUUGUGGUAUAUGGUCAAUAUAUCCUUGCUAAGGGCUGUAUCCAGGCACUCGGAGAUGCGUCGUGCAUAAGAACAGCCCGUAGCCGUGGUAUAUUGGCCAUAUACCACAUCCCCUUGGGUAUUAUUGCUUAAAUACAAUAAACAUCCCGAAGAGAGAAGAUUGUCGUGGACUGUCGCUUUAUCACCAGUUGAUUUUGGCGGGCUUUUAAGACUGUUCCUAGAACAUGACAACACAACUAGCUGGAAUUCUCAGUGUAUUUUACUGGACUAAUUAGGCUGUCAAUAUUUCGGGACAGUGGAUUUGAGUUGAAUAGUCUGCUCUAGUUUGGGAUCUGCUUCAAGUAAUAUCAGACAAGUUGUGGUCAUGAUCCAAUAUUUUCAUAAUAUACUUUGAAAUUAGCAUUGCAGACCUCCUCAUGCUGAUCAGGGUGAAAUUCAAUGGUGAACGAAAAUAUGUGAAGAUCAUUGACCUGACACUUGAAAAUCUUUUGAUUGGAGUUUCAGAGGCAAAGCUGUGUGAUGGGUCUGGAACUGAAGUUGAUUAUAUUAUAUAUUAUAUUAUGAGGAGGUGGUGACACGGCCAGACCUUGGUGUUUUCAAGCUCACGCUGACCAAUGAUGCUAAAGAUGUCUCUGGCAGUACUGUGAUGGGUGGUUCAGACCAUGAGUCAGUUGAUACGAUCAUAUUGAGCGAGGAUGGAAGCCCCUCACGAAAGCGUCAAAGAUAUGAUGACGAAGCAAAACAUGUACGUUUGUAAUUCAUUCUUCAAUUCAAGUGGCAUCAAAUGGAUUUUUCACUGCUGUUUUUUUUUUACAAGUAAUAGAGAGCAUACGGAAGAAAAAGCCUGGUGGAGAGAUUGUCAUCAAGGAAUACUCCAAAACUGACUGCACCAGACUAAAGAUGAUCAACAUUCUUGUUUCGGCGAUGACGGCGACUCAUGGGCCAUCACCACCGCGUGAGAGAAACAUUUGUACAAUGCAUCAUCUCCUUGUUCCUAUACCUAAAGGAUUCCUACACGACAAAUGGAUAUGAACAUUACUACGACCCUAAUAGUGGAGAAGUGUACCUCUCGUAUAGAAUCAAAACCAUUCAGAGGAAUUUGGCUUCAUCAGAGAAACGGCCCACUCAACUAUACUCUGGAGGGCCAACUGCUUAGAGGGAGUCCAGUCCAUCCACUUUGGCUACCCUGAGGGAAGACCAGUGCAGAGAGGCCAUUUAUCUUAUGAAGCAUUCUUCUGAUGAAGAAACAGUCAAACAGAAGAUGAAAUUGACCUUUGAGUACAGGAAGAUGACCUACGACCCGAGUAAAUGCUCCACCAUCCUAACCGAAUUUCCACGCUUUCUUGAUGUGAAGGGUUUGAUAUUGAACAUGAUUUUGUGCUGCUGUUUGGAGAGGGAACAUCAGUCAAGUUUUUGGAGAGGUGGCCAACUACAUUCAAGCAAAAUAUCAUCCUUCUAAGCAAGACCCUAUAAGCAAGGCAGAAUCUGCAGUUGAUGAGGGAGCUGAGGGAUGAGGGAGCUGACACGAAUGCUGAUGGUUACCGAAACACCACUUCAUGAUACAUUAUCCUCGUUGUAUGCGCUACGAGGCAAAACAUAAUUUCUUUAAAAAGCAACUGAAGAGUUUUAAGAAUUUCACUAUGACCUUAGCCAAGAAACAACAAAAUGACAUGGCAUAUAAUUGGGAAAUGUUUAGCCAGGGUAGACUAGCUAUCAGCCAGGGUAGACUAACUAUAGGUCCAGGAAAGAUGUCAAGGCUCAAUGACCUGAAUGAAAGCCAUGAUAUUGCUACCAAGUUGAAUGUCUCAGUGCACACAAAUGUUUUGUCAGUUAAAUGGGUUAAGCACCAUGGUACAGAAUAUCGUCUUGAUUUGGCCAUAUGUGGUGAAGUAGUCAUUGAAGUGCCAGUAUUUUACAAAAGUAAGGCUAUUGUUCUGAAAGAGGAAAAUGAUUUUUCGGUUAGGUCAGCUCUUGAAAUCUUAUGUUUUGUUGAUCAUUUGCAUGCAUUUGAAGUUGUUUUGAAGCCAAGUCCACCAUGCAAGGUAUUUCAUGUAAAUGACAUCAUGUACCACAAACCUUUUGAUUUGCUCAUGUCAAAUGGAGCAAGGGAUUUUUUUGACUACAUUGUCCCCACCUGUCACUUGAUAACAGUUUAAGCCAGGGCUGAUACUUAUGUUUAGGUUGUGAAAAACAUAUUUGUUUUGAAUGUAAAUGUUAGCAUUUUCCAACAAACCUAUUGAUUUGCUCAUUUUAUAUGGAGCAAGGGAUUCUUUUGACUAGAUUCUACUCUCACUUGAUAACAGUUUAAGCCAGGGCUGGGACUUAUGGUUUGGUCAUAAUGAACAUAUUUGAAUCUUGAAACAGCUUUGAUUGAGUUUGUGAAAUUCCUAGUGCCUUUAUAACAUCUAAUUUCCAUUUACAUGGGAGAAGAGUAAAUACAUUAACACUGAAUAGAGUAAACACAUUUUUACUCUUAAUACUCAAAUAGUGUCACUAUAACACUUAAAGUGUUGAAUACCUCAGUGUUCAUUUUGAUCAACACCGGCCAGUGUAGUGCAGUGUUAACUUUCUGCACUCUGUGUUAAAACACUAGAAAUGUAACACUUUGAUCAGUGUACUUUUUACUCUGUGUAGAGUGGGACCAUAUGUACUCGCUGACAGUGUUAAAUUGAACACUUUAAAGUGUUGAUUUAACACUUUUACAUUUACUGUGUAGGUAGACACCAACACCAUAAUAGGGAGGAGACGGCUGGUUCAUAAAUGUGACCUGAACAACAUUUGAAAACCGUACCCCUUCAAUACAAUGGUUUAAAAUACAUGAGGGGUUCAUAGGUGCUCUGCUGUGAUAGGCUAAAAUAAAUGCUGUUUAGUGAUCACCAGAGAGGAGAAAGGAAGGGAGGCAGGAAGGAAGAUAUGAGAUGUAGAGGAGCUGACACUGACUGCUUUGCUUUCUGUUUGCUGUUUCCCUGGUGACCAAGCCAUAUCUGAUGAUGUCAUGGCUGCGAGGGUGUGUGAGAGACGCUGAUAUCGUAAAUAUUGUCCUUAACUAGGUCAUAAUAUAAGCUUCCUACACCACACCCAGACCCCGCUUCAAGUAGAGACUUAUCAACAUACACUUCCCUCCUUUUUAAAAUCCUAACUCCUUACAGCUGUACAGGACCCCACAAUAGUGCCCUCCGUAUGAACUGUGAGGCAGGAGCGUGAGGCCAGUAUAAAUGUUGCUGACUUGACAGAGAGCCAGGAGAAGCCAGUCUUCAGAACUUUGCCGCAGUCAGAGAGAGCAUCAGGACAUGUUUCCAUUUUUCAGGAAUACAGUAUUUUCAAACUAGCUCGUUUACCAUUAAAAACAAAUGUGGGGACUCCAUUCAGGUGUCUUUUUACCCCUGCUACGUUAGGUUAGUUCACACAAACAUUACAUUCAACCACAGCUAGAGGGAAAUCAGUCAGACCGUUAGGCCUCGUGUUCCUAUGGUAAACAUGUCAAAACAUGUUAAAGUGUGUAUAUUUUGGCUGAAAACAAGGUGUCUACGAGGGCAGUGUCAUUCCAUUCAGGGGUUACAUGGUUUUAGUGGGUAGGCUGUCAUUGUAAAUAAGAACGUUCUUGACUUGCCUAGUUAAAGGUGAAAUAAAAUAAAAAUCCUUU